GCUGACCUCAGGUGAUCCACCUGCCUCGACCUCCCAAGCAGGCUUAAGAUUUUUAAAAAUUAAAGUAAAAGUAAAAAAAUAAAAUAAACAGACUUCUAAAAGUGACCUCAAUGAGCAGAACUAAGAAACAAUGGGCAGCAGUAAUGGAAGACAGAUCCAGCUUAAUGAAAGGACCGGCCGGGCGCAGUGGCUCACGCCUGUAAUCCCAGCACUUUGGGAGGC
rnacentral:lncRNA from 1 species